CGGCCCGCGGCUGCCCUCUCGUGGCCGCAAGGCGCCAUGGCACGGCCGCUUCCACGCAGCGGAGGUGCGCUGGCCGGAAGGCGGCGGGUCCGGCCAGCCAGGGAGACCAGCCAAGCGCUGUGUUUUUCCAGGUCCGCGCGGGCCAGGGGAACCCUGCGUGUUUGCUUGGUGGGAGUGGUUUACUGGGAAAGUAGACGGAAGGUACCCUGCAAAUCGGCGUGCACUGUAUUGUUUGGGAGUCAACAGCCUGGAAAGUAAAUAUCAGGAGUCGCUUUGGAAUGUGUUUCCUCUCGUCCGGGGUUUGAAGAUUAGUCAUGAAAAACAUCACUCUGCCCUUGCUGAAGUGCAUGUUGGCUACUCGAUCAUUCCACCUGUGUGCCCCAAGACGGUCUGCUAAGGAGGGCUCCCCUCUUUUCCAUGCCCUCUCAGCUCCAGACUCCAUCCCAUCCAUCAACAUUAUCCUGUGCCCCCGAGGGAGGAGGGCGGGGGAGGGUUUCUGUGCCUGGAUUAUUGGUGAGAGGAGAGCAAGUGCAGAAAUGAAGCUAUGACUCUUGCAGAAGUCAUGCAUUCCGUUCAAGGAUAUUCCUUUCCGUAGCCUCCACACAUUCCCUCUGGCUGCAGGCCCCUGGGAUUUUUCUGUGUGACCCCGUCACAUUGCAUCUGUAUAGAUUGUCAAAGCACCUCAUGACUGUGGAGGAAGAAGUCGGGGACAGAACAUGGAUCUGGAAGGCUCACAGCAUGGAUUUGGUAGGGUGACACAAUGUCCCAUGUUCUUCAAGAAAUGUCUAGACUAGGUGAUUGAUUCUAUCGUAGAUCUGGCACAAUGCUCCUGCCACACAGGGGGCAAAUUGAGAUCCAGAGAGAAGUGACUGGCCCAGGUCACUCAGCCAGCUGGUAACUUAGCUGGAAUUCGUUCCCAGGUCUCCUGAC
rnacentral:lncRNA from 10 species